UUGGCUGGGUGCUUUUGUGUGUCCUGUUUGAGCAUGCAGCCUUGGUGGCCUGUGCUACUGGGGGUGUUUGAUGCGGUGGGCUCUGCUGCCUGUUUUGCUUGUGAGCAUGGGCAGCAGCGAUACCCAGGAAGGGCAGAUCAAAGCAAGGAGGGUUGGAUAAGCCAUUGGAUUUCUACUCAGCGUAGCGGAGCUGACAGCAGUCAUUUCUCUCUGAGCUAACUGGUCGGCAUUCAGCUUGUCUUUGGCUCGCUGUGUCUGACUGGUACUUGGGACUGACAACACAAAUCUGUGCUGGAAAUCUGUAAGCUGGCAACUCUGCAGUAAGAGAACAGGACUCAAUAUCAUCUCACAUCUGAAGACUGUGGGCAAUCACAGAUGUGCUGACGAUACGUACUCUCUACUUGGCUCUUCCAAACAGACCUGCUGCUGGUUCCUGACACUUGGACAAGAGGAGGAUUAGUUGCCUCUUUGCUGGACAACUCUGGCACCUGCCAGCAGAGGCUGACAGUGGUCCGCACACAACCCUUGGAGAAGCAAGUGUUACAUCUAGCUACUGCAGACUCCUUCCUUGAGGUCCCCAUUGGGAAACUCCAUGGUAGUGGAUUCUUGCGUGGGUCUGAGCACACAGGUAAACGUAUUGCACAGAGGGGCUGGAGAUAAAGGAUGCCAUCUGCCUCUCACCCAUUUGUUUCUGCAUCUCGCUGUUCACCUAGAAACUGCCACCUGUUUGUGCCAGAAGCUUGAAGCAGAUGUGUUAUCUUUUGAUUUCAAGAAUCUGCCUGGACAACAGAUACAGAAACAUCGGUUCGGUUCAAUUGCCCUAUAAUGAAUGGAGGGAGCUCUGAAGUUUUUGCUGAUUCUGUAAGCGAAUUGGAACUGGAAGCCAUCAGGUGAAAGCAAACACCUGCCAUGAUGCAGUCCCUGAGGGACCACCUUAAAGGGCAACUUAUAUGCGAUUCAGGGUUGCACUCUCACCAAGUUUAAAUUGCCCUGACUUCCCAGGACCGAGUGAUUUACAUUCAUAGAGGCCUGGCCAGAGAACGUGAUGAUGCUGCGUUUGUAGUUUUAGCACCAUUUUUUGUCAGCAGUGCAGGUUCAGCCAGCCUCCACCCCAAGCCUGCCCGGUUCCUUGGCUGGUGCUGGUACAACCCUUUGUGUUGCUGAAAGCCAUCCUCCGGGAGCUGCAGCCACCAGGCUCCUGCCCAGCCAGCGACGUGGUCCUGAUAGCUCUCACAGUACCUAGAAUAGGAACAGCAGCAUAAAUCAAUCACUCCCCUUCCUUGUCCUUCUUUCCUUCCAGUCUACAUACGCAUGUCUUGGAUGUUUCCCACUUCUACCCUCUUCUAAACCACAGAGAGAAAGCAGGCUCCGAAAAGGUCAUCAGCAUCAGCCUCAACAUCGAGCCCCAUCCAUAUUCAUUCGGAAUAUUUCACACCUAUCAGUUAAAUAUUUUUUAAUCAGCCUAGAGCCACCUUGCCCCAAUCAGUAAACUGAGGCCCAAAGCAGUGACACUGCAGGAUCAUACAGUGAGUUAGUGGUGGAAACAAGAAUAAAACUCAGGAGUCAGCUGCCAACCACAUAAGCUAUCCCUGCUGCUGGCCUGGAAAGUAAAAAUAAUGGUUUGGAGUCCUCCAGUUUUCAUUAUUAACUUUUUGGAUGAGUUUUGCCUAAGGGGAAUGAGUUAUUCUCUGCUGUUGCAUCAGUAUGUUUCACUUCAGCUGAAUUAUGUGUCACUUUAUGGUAGGGUUGUCUUCAUUUUUUUCUGGGUUGUGCUCAGGGAGAUCUUUGUGAACAUCUUGUUUGACAAAUUCUGCACCACCCACAUAACCACUUUGAGGCAAACUUAGCAGAGUCAGAGACUGAGCUGGGCCCGCUUAUCUCUGGUAGAUCUUGUCUUCUUGUUGCUAAUUGCGAUCUGCAAGGCCCAGUGGCUGGAGCAGAGCAUGGGGCUUGGAUCUAAGCACUCAGGGAUUUGCUUUGUUGUUUGUCCUUGUGGCUUUGGGCAAGUCACUGAACUUGAUUGAUAGUGUGUUCAUUUAUGUGCUUGUUAGUUUCUAAUGAAGAUUUCAGCCAAUGCAAAAACUAUCUGCAGCAAUAAUUUUUGGCUUUUUUUUUUUUUUUUUUUUUUAAGGGAGGAGAGAUUACAUUCAAGAAAGCCUUCUCCCACAUGCAAACAUUUUUCUUACUUUCUUCUUUUUCAAGUUUCCUGAAACCAAACAUGGAAAAUAAAUCAUCCUUAAACCAAGAACUGCAGUGUUUCAAAGAAAAUUCAGAAAAUAAAUUUCUAUUUCAGCAACCACUGUUUUUUUUAUUUUUUACAAAACCCCCCACAACCUUCCAUGGGAGUUUUCAAACAAUAGCAAAGGCGCAGAGAAAUGCCUGGUUUGUCACCUGCCCUGUCUUGAUCUAGCUGCUCCAGUCUCGAAUGUCAACAAAUACUGGUGCCUUUCAAAAAUACAUAGGUUGUAUUUUGGAUGCUAUUUAGUUAACCAAUACUUCUUGUAUAUAGAAUGGUUUUGAUUACAUUAUCUAGCAGAAUAAAAACAGAUGGCAAUGAAGUAGCUAUUUGUCUUCCUUGUGAAUUUCAAUACACGGGGAAGUGAGGGCACAAAAAGAUUGGUGUAAACUUGGCAUAAUAUGGUCACUGGGAGCUAUGAAAGCUUUUCCCAACCAGCUUUGCUCAUGCAUCUAAUCUUGACCUGAAGGCAUUGCUACUGCUCUGACCUUCUCCUACUUGAACUAGAACAUCUUAUUUCCACUUCCU